rnacentral:rRNA from 1 species
AUGCCAUGGGAGCCAAGGACCAGAGGGGAAACCCUUCUCCCAUCUAGGGAGAAGGUCAAGGAAGAAGAAGGAGGGAGCUCUCUCCCCCUUGCUUCUGGUGGCACCGGAACGCCACCGGCGGCCAUCAUCGUCACCGCAAUCUACACCAACACCGCCAUCAUCUUCACCAACGUCUCCAUCACCUUCCCCCAUCUAUAUUCAGCGGUCCACUCUCCCACAACCUGUUGUACCCUCUACUUGAACAUGGUGCUUUAUGCUUCAUAUUAUUAUCCAAUGAUGUGUUGUCAUCCUAUGAUGUCUGAGUAG